AAGAGUGACAGAUUUCAUGUUGACCACUCACAACCUCCAUUCACACUUCACCAUACCUAGAAUAUCCCACACACAUCUUAAAGUGGCAUGCUAGGGAAUAAACCAAAGUAAGGAUCCAUAUGUAUAAGGUACCAUGGUGAUCUCAGGUCAAAAGAUCACAUACACCACUUCCACUAGAGAACCAUCUAUCGACAUGCUGUAAGG
rnacentral:lncRNA from 1 species